GUGCCAUAAUAAUACGGAAAAAGAAACAGAGGAAAAGCAAUAUGUCACCCGACAUUGUCGAUCGGUGAUAAAUAGAAAAUGAAAAAACAUAGAAACGUAUAAUAAGAAAAAAAGAAACGAACAAUAACAAUAUGUCACCCCAACUCCGUUGAGGGUGCCAUAAUAAUACGAAAAGCGAAUUAAAGUUUUUUUCUUUCAUAAAUUCAAUGGAGAC
rnacentral:lncRNA from 1 species